CCACGAGUAGUCUGUGUCGAUCUUCAUUAUGGUAACAAUUAUGUUGCAUUUCCCAAUCUAUACAUAAUAAUAGAGAAUUAGUAUUUUAAACAUAAUUAUUACUAAUAGAGGCAAUUAGUAUUAAUCACAACUAUUACCUCAGAAAAACAAAAGAGUCCAGAGAUGGUUUUCCUUGGAAAACGAUCAUAGUAUUCCUUUUUUUUCAUCAGUUGAUUCCCAUGUUUUGGCUUAACUUCUUGGAUAGCCAGAGGCAUAGCAUCAGGGGGUAAACUACAUGACAAUUAAAAAAAAAAAUCAACUUAUCAUAAUAUCAAUAGGAUAUACAAUCUAAUUAUUUUCAAAAGCAAUAUUAAGUUUGCCCCUAUCUUACUUGGCCACAAAUUCAAGAACAGCAGGGUAGGUAGCAUUGAUUUCCAACAGAGACAUGUCAAAUGCAUUUGAAACUGAUCUUUCACCUAACAAAAUGAGUACUAUUAGUAUAAAUAUAUUCUGUGAUCUGCCUUUAAAAAUCCCAAAAAUGUUUUAUCAAAAACGUUUUAUACCUUUGAAUGAAUUGAUCUUAGCAAGACGAAGUAAGGCAAUCACCCUCUCAGUGCCUGCAUUUUGACAUGCAUUCCACAUUGCCUCAGCAAAUCUCCCCCAAAGAGUACAUUUCAGCCGUUCAUCACUAUAUAAGAAAAUAAGUUGUGAGAUAAUUGUAAGUACAAAUAACAUAAGAUAUAUUAUAAUAGGGUAAAGCCAUAUGAAAUUACUUUGUGUCUCUGAGUUCAAGAUCAAGUUUCUUUGUGAUUUUGUUGUUAACAUCAUGAGUUUUCAUCUCAUUGAAACUAACAACCUGUCCAAGUACAUCUACAAAAUUAAGAAAUUAAUAUUUGGUUUUUGAUGAAUAUCUAUUAUUAAAAUAUGCAAAGAAUAAUAACUAAAAAUAAAAAGAAAAAUAUAUUACCAAUUAAGAUGUUUUCAUUCAAUCCUCCUUCAUCCAAAACAUCUUGAAAGUUUGCCAGAUCCAAAUAAAUGUCAUUAGAAAGAGGAGGAGUUCGAGUUAUUACAGUUUUUUGCAUCAUGGACAUUUUGAAACCAUGUUUAGUUGCACGGUAUUUUCCUGUUGACUUGGCUAGUGUAAAUUUCUCGAUAAUACGCCACUCCCCAGAGGUAAUGAACCUUUGCAGUUUGUUCAAUUGUUGCUUCUUAAUGGUAGCAUGGAUCAAAGUACCCUGAAUAUUGAAAAAUAAGUCAUGUUAAACAUACAAAACUAUGGUGUAUAUAUGAUACACGAUUAUUUGUAUAUAAGAAUGAUAUAGUUACUUACAGAGGUAUCAGCAAGAAUCAUUUCGACGGUUUCUCCAGUGUAUUGAGUGUAUUGAGUCCAAGAAUGGACAAUUUUAACUUGAAUUCUCCAUUCUGUUUUGAAAGGUUUGACAUCAGCAAGGGUGGUGAAUGCUAGCUCAGCUGCCAUUUUCUUAGUGGGAUUGUGUAGAGAAAGAGUGAAAGCUUGAGAAGGUGAGUUUAACAUAACAUUGGAUCAUAUAUUUAUACUAAUCGAAAUACGGCUAUAAUUUUCUAGGUUUUAGAGAAUUAUCGGGGAAGAGGAUAAAUGCGAAUAGAAUAUUUUAGGUAUAUAAUUGAUAUUAUGCUAUUUUUUGGGUAUGAUUUAGAACAAAUAUGGAUUUGAAAAGAUUUUAUGAUUUUAAAUAUAAAAAAAAAGGAAGUUAAUUGUUUUCGUUUAUAUGGAAAGAUUUUUUCAGCACAAGGAAAUUAUUUAAUUGCAUUUUAAUUGAUAGCAUCCCGGAGAUUUUGUGAUGAUUUAGAAAUUAUAUGGAGUUGUUUGGAUUUGGAAAAUUUUUGUAUCUUUGAUUAUGCAAAAUUUAAGUUGUGAUUGAUAUGGAAAUAGAUUUGAUUACGUGUUAUAAUAUUAGAAUAAGUUUAUCCUUAAUCGGGUUGAUUACGUGAUUACGGAAUAUUUUUGAAUAGGGUUGUUAUAUAGAAUAAAUGAUUUUCCGAAUUUUAAGUUGUGCUUGAUAUAAAAAUAGAUUUAUUUACGUGUUAUCUAACUAAUUUUCUGUUUAAUGUUUGUAGAUAUGUUACAUAAGGCCUGAUAUUAACAAUGGGCCAAUUAACAUAAAGCCCAGUUGUGUUUUACCGCAGAUGUAUCAGCGAUCCGUCUCAUUUACCAGAUAGAUAUCCGAUUCAAUCUCCAAGAUCCGCGUCCUUUUGAGUCCCAAUUGUCAAUUAUACCCCUCGACGAAAUUCUGUGUUUUCACUUGAAAUACUAAAAUUCUAAUGGCAUCUAUUGUAAUUAUUUACCCUUAGUGAGGUUAGAUAUUAUGUAAUCCUUCCCAAUUAAUAGAAUAGAU
rnacentral:lncRNA from 1 species